rnacentral:lncRNA from 1 species
AGAGGGAUCUUGACGGCGAGAAGGAGAGGGUUUGACUAGAGAUGAAGCUUGGGUUAAGAGAUAUGGGUUUUUUUUUACGGGAAACUGAAGAUUGAAAGCUCUGAGAGCUAGGUGGGGGAAUUAAGUGAAUGGGAAAGAAAACCCAGAAGUGGGAUUUUUGUGGGGAUGCAAGGAUUGAAAGAAAGUAAAAUAUUUUCCGGAAAAAUGAAGAAAGUAAAAUAUUUUGUAUUAUUUUAUAAAUAAAAAAAUACUAUUAUUUUAUUGUCUAUUGCCAGGGUUAUUUAAGUG